rnacentral:rRNA from 1 species
AAUGAACGCUGGUGGCGUGGAUUAGGCAUGCAAGUCGAGCGACAAGGUGUUUUAAGCUUGCUUUUGACACUGGAGGAGCGGCAGACGGGGUAGUAAAGCGUCGGAACGUACCCUCGGGACGGGAAUAGCGGCUGGAAACGGCCGGUAAUGCCCGAUAGUCCAGAGAUGGUAAAGGUGUAAGUCCGCCUGAGGAGCGGCCGACGUGGUACUAGGUAGUUGGUGGGGUAAUGGCCUACCAAGCCUUCGAUGCCUAGGGGGUGUGAGAGCAUGGCCCCCACCACUGGGACUGAGACACUGCCCAGACACCUACGGGUGGCUGCAGUCGAGAAUCUUCCACAAUGGACGCAAGUCCGAUGGAGCGACGCCACGUGCGGGAAGAAGGCCUUCGGGUUGUAAACCGCUGUUGAAGGGGAGGAACGCUAUUGGGGUACACCCCUUUAGCUUGACCAAGCCUUUGAGGAAGCGCGGGCUAAGUACG